rnacentral:pre_miRNA from 1 species
AGAGGGAUAGUUGGGUCAAAAGGUGGUUCCAUUCCCAGAUUUCCAAGGAAUCUCCAUACUGCUUUCCAAAUUGGCUGCACCAAUUUGCAGUCCCACCAGCAAU